AGUGAGCCAAGAUCCCACCACUGCACCCCAAGCCUGGGUGACAAAGUGAGACUCCGUCUCAAAAAAAAAAAAGAUUUAUGUCAAUAUCCUUGGCAAGAGAGAAAAGAUGGAAGCAAAUAGGCCAUUGUAAUAAUUGAGAGAAGUGGAUAAACGGGAUAUGAAAUACGAGGAGGUAAAACUCAGCACAACUUGGGACUCCUUUCAGAAGCGAAGAAGAAGUAAUGUCCAGGAUGGCUCCAAGUUCCUGACUCCAGGUCGAGUGGGGAUGAAACUGAGAAGAAGGCAUGAAGUGUUGCAGGCAGAUAAGCAAAGGAAGAGUCAGGAAGCAAAGAGGGCAGGGCAUGAGCAUGGAAAAAGCGCCAAUGUUUAGGGGUUUAUGUGUAGGAAAAGUUAUCUAAUGCCAAAAGAGAGCGUUUAAUCUCCCUUUAAAGAGGUGGCCAAAGAUAGACUGUCCACGAGGGGAAUUCUUCAUUUUAGAGUCAUAACAGCAAGCCAAGGGCAAAAGAGACAGAUCUCACUUAUCUGUGAAUGCAGAAAACAAAACACGUCCUUUAAUGUCAACGUCUUGAGUUCUUUUUCCCAGGUUGACUGACUAAAUAUCUCAGUACAGAUACUUUUGCCCCCUUCCAAAACGCAACCACCCAUGACCCCGACGUGAUUUGAACACGCAACCUUCUGAUCUGGAGUCAGACGCGCUACCGUUGCGCCACGAGGUCACGGAGACCCUCCAUUUUCCUUUUAAGA
rnacentral:tRNA from 10 species